rnacentral:snoRNA from 1 species
UGGGACCCUUAUCGAAGCUGAAGUUGCUUCCACGUAGCUGCUGUAGUCAAAAAAGAGCCCACAUUGAGUUUUUCCUUGACAGUCGCCAUUCGGUUUGCUAUAACCGAUCUGCUACAUUUCAGGAAAAGAAAUUC